AAAUGCUCACAAAAAAAGUUAUUAUGCUCCAAAGUGAGGUAUAUCGAAAUAUAUGCUGAAAAUGACUUUUUCUGCCAUCACUGCCCGCUGGGCUAUAAACUGCUAUAGCACUUCGUAGCUCCAAAGUGAGGUAUAUCGAAAUAUAUGCUGAAAAUGACUUUUUUCUGCCAUCACUGCCCGCUGGGCUAUAAACUGCUAUAGCACUUCGUGGAUGCAUUCUAUCAAUUUGGCGUCUUCAGCAAAGUUGUUUGGAUUUACAUGCUCUUUGAAUUGCAUUUGGACAUUAGUUCGAAAUUUCACCGCAUAGGUGGCGCUGAGAUACAAACUUUUUUAUUUCACAUCCUAGAGCUUUGGCGUUUUCGGCAAUGUUGUAGAACACCAAAAAUUAUGAAAGUUUGUCGAAGACACCAAAGCUCUAGCACUUAACACAGCGAAGUUAUAGCAAAAGUAGUUAAUCAUAUUCAAAAAUUUACGUUUUUGCCCUUUUUUAUAUACUUCUUAUAGUGCCAUGAAUCGUUUAUCUUAUACUAGCUGUUCCGGUAAACGUCGUACUGCCUGCCUACUGUGUUUUUUGACAUACAGCUCCAUAGGGACGUAUCCCGCAAAGUUAUCUGUGCGGGAGCCCCCCGUUCCAGAGACCGGAGACGUCUCACACCAAGCUGAGAACCUUCCCCGGCCCCAGAAAAAAUCACAUACAAAAUUUCACACCGAUCGGUUCAGUAGUUUCCGAAUGCAUAAGGGUCAGACAGACAGACAGAAAUACAUUUUUAUAUGCAUAGAUA